rnacentral:rRNA from 1 species
GACGAGGGAUCCUAGCGUUGUUCGGAAUCAUUGGGCGUAAAGAGUAUGUAGGCGGCCUUGUAAGUCAGUUGUGAAAGCCCCGGGCUCAACCCGGGAAGUGCAAUUGAUACUGCUUGGCUUGAAUGUGGAAGAGGGUAGUAGAAUUCCAGGUGUAGUGGUGAAAUACGUAGAUAUCUGGAGGAAUACCGGUGGCGAAGGCGACUUCCUGGCCUGUUCUUGACGCUGAGGCGCGAAAGCUAGGGUAGCAAACGGG